rnacentral:misc_RNA from 1 species
AUAAUAAUAAUAACAAUAGAAAUUUUUAAAAUGCAAAAAAAGGGGUGAAGCAGAUAACAGGGACCACCAAAAACCAUUUACCAAUGCAAAUUGCCAGUAACAAAUUAUGUGAAUUAAUAUCUUUUUGAUUUAGCAUGAAGAAGUAGCUAAGCGCGGAAAUAAUCAAAAAUUUCUAAAACAAAAAUAAUUAAGUGAAACAAUUAGAUUUAAAAAAAAAAGUAGCAACAGUUUAAAAAAAAAUAUUAAUUACACAAGAGUGUAGCUUUUUUCCCCUUUUUUUAACUUUUAUUAAACCCGAAAGUUACACAAUUUAUAACACUUCUCCUUAUCGUUUCCCUAAUUUUCUUAGCAACCAAACAGAAAGCAAAAAAGGGGGAAAAAUUAAGGAUACCUGACACUCGAUGAUUUUUCCGUA